GCAGUGAGCCGAGAUGGCAGCCCUGCAUUCCAGCCUGGGUGACAGAGUGAGAUUUUGUCUCAAAAAAGACAAAAAAAAAAAAAGUUACAAAUGAAAUGGGAUUAUACACCAAGGGCAGAACGCUUCCUAGACAGUGAAAGUGGUGUGAAGGGUUGGGAGACAAGAACUCCCCGUAAGCGAGCACCUCUGUGUGUCACACCGUGUGGCAGGCAACCAUUCUCUAACUCCCCACAGUCACCCCUGAGGUAGGUGUGCUGUGGCUGGGAUGGGGAGGGGGGCUGUCUGCCUUUUACAAGUGAGGAAACCACUGAGCAGCUUAUCUACAGGAUCACAUUUGGUCCUGAGGAAACAGAGGUUAAUGAUUUGCCUGGAGCCGCCAAUGAACAAGUGGCAGCACUGAGGCUGGAAGCCAGGUUUUUUAUUUUGAAGCUCUGAUCCUUUUCAUUGUUUUUUUGAUUUUUUUGUUUUGUCUUUUUAAGAGACAGGGUCUUGCUUCGUCGCCCAGGCUGGAGUGCAGUGGUGCGAUCAUAGCUCACUGCAGCCUCGAACUCCCAAGCUAAAGCCAUCCUCCCACCUCAGCCUCCCAAAGUUCUGGGUCUUGGUCUUUCCAUCUGUGCUGAGCUGCCUUCUUAGCGAAGAUCUGCUCGACUCUUCAGAAUGGGUCCCAUGGUGCCUGCUGGGAUGGGACCUGCUCACCUGUGCAGGGAGUCGGAUCUUGGAUGUGACGCUGCUGCCAGACUCUGCCUCCUCCUGAAUUUCUAGCUCAUCCCAGCUGGUGGCUGUGGCCAGGACUGAGCCAGCAUCAUCUAGAAGUAAUGACUGGGUGAAUCCAUGAAUCAAAACCUGGUAAUAAAAGGCAAAUAUCCAUACAAGCCA